UCCCUGGUGGCUCAGAUGGUAAAGAAUCUGCCUGCAAUGCAGGAGACUCAGGUUUGAUCCCUGGGUCGGGAA
rfam:Ovis aries breed Texel chromosome 10, whole genome shotgun sequence.